AUUGAACGCUGGCGGCAUGCCUUACACAUGCAAGUCGAACGGCAGCACGGGAGCAAUCCUGGUGGCGAGUGGCGAACGGGUGAGUAGUGUAUCGGAACGUGCCCAGUCGUGGGGGAUAAAGCAGCGAAAGCUGUGCUAAUACCGCAUACGAUCUAUGGAUGAAAGCGGGGGAUCGCAAGACCUCGCGCGAUUGGAGUGGCCGAUAUCAGAUUAGCUAGUUGGUGGGGUAAAGGCUCACCAAGGCGACGAUCUGUAGCUGGUCUGAGAGGACGACCAGCCACACUGGAACUGAGACACGGUCCAGACUCCUACGGGAGGCAGCAGUGGGGAAUUUUGGACGAUGGGCGCAAGCCUGAUCCAGCAAUGCCGCGUGCAGGAUGAAGGCCUUCGGGUUGUAAACUGCUUUUGUACGGAGCGAAAAGGCCUUCUCUAAUACAGGGGGCUCAUGACGGUACCGUAAGAAUAAGCACCGGCUAACUACGUGCCAGCCGCCGCCGUAA
rnacentral:rRNA from 1 species